AGUGCUUUUCAGCUCCAUCUAUACCACAACGGUCCUUUUCAGGACCACACAUCUUUGCAUUUUACAUCCUGGUUUCCUGUGUUUACCGACAACAGAGACCAGUUACUCAUAUUUAUUUUAAAUCACAUUUAAAUACAUUAUUAUUUUGAGCAGUAUAGUUUAGUAAAGUAGUUAGUGUGUAUUAGUGUUAGUUUACAUUGUUUUAAGGCACUUUCUAGUGCAUUAGGUUAGGUUAGGUUAUCUUAGGUUAGGGUUAGGUUAGAUUAGAUUAAAGCACCUUUUUAAUUGCCACACAUAGUACAGUCUCAAAUACUUACACAGUUAAGUUGUCCUGUUUAACUACUGUCUCCAGCUUUCCCCAGUGUUUUUCAGGUGAGUAAACCAUUUGAAGUAAUAAAGUUGCAUGAAAAAAAUCCACUAUCCUAUCUAAAAGGAUGCUUUCAGCCUUUGUAAACCAAGAACAUCACUCGAUGGUGGUUAGA